CCUGUCAAGAGGCCACAUGGACAUACACAUUGUGCAAUUCUUCCCAUCUUGAUGGGGACUUUUGGGAUUGCAGGAUUCAUGAGCUAUUUCACUUGAGGAAAAUGUAGCUUGCUCUUAAGGCCCCCUUGUUAAAAAUAAGCUGCUGUCUAUGUGGUUCUCCUACAUAGGGAAACCAAAUCCUUUUGUUGGUCAGCUGGAAAUCUGCUCAGCCACCUGAGAUUCAUUGUGGAUGAAAGUGUUUACAAUGCUUGGUAUGAGGAAAUGCAGGUAUGGACACACAUCCAUAUCUGAUGCAAACAUAUACAGAAGAGGAAUUCCCACAAAAUAAAUAA
rnacentral:lncRNA from 1 species